rnacentral:rRNA from 1 species
GCCUAGCCGUAAACUUUUAUUUACACCCAAUCGCCAGGGAACUACGAGCUAAGCUUAAAACCCAAAGGACUUGACGGUGCCCCAUAUCCCCCUAGAGGAGCCUGUCCUAUAAUCGAUAAUCCACGUUCAACCUCACCAUCUUUAGUUAAUCAGCCUGUAUACCUCCGUCGUCAGCUUACCACGUGAGCGCCAAUUAGUGAGCUUAAUGUUCUUCACCAAUACGUCAGGUCAAGGUGCAGCAAAUGAGAUGGGAAGAGAUGGGCUACACUCUCUAUUUUAGAAAAAACGAAAAACUACCUAUGAAACCUAGUUAGAAGGCGGAUUUAGCAGUAAAAAGGAAUCAGCAUGUCCAUUUUAAUCCGGCACUGGGGUGUGU